rnacentral:rRNA from 1 species
UACGGGGGGGGGCAAGCGUUGUUCGGAAUUACUGGGCGUAAAGGGUUCGUAGGUGGCCAACUAAGUCAGACGUGAAAUCCCUCAGCUUAACCGGGGAACUGCAUCUGAUACUGGAUGGCUUGAGAUUGGGAGAGGGAUGCGGAAUUCCCGGUGUAGCGGUGAAAUGCGCAGAUAUCGGGAGGAACACCAGUAGCGAAGGCGGCUCGCUGGGCCAUUCCUGACGCUGAGACGCGAAAGCUAGGGGAGCGAACAGG